GACGAACGCUGGCGGCGUGCCUAAUACAUGCAAGUUGAGCGCUGAAGGUUGGUACUUGUACCAACUGGAUGAGCAGCGAACGGGUGAGUAACGCGUGGGGAAUCUGCCUUUGAGCGGGGGACAACAUUUGGAAACGAAUGCUAAUACCGCAUAAAAACUUUAAACACAAGUUUUAAGUUUGAAAGAUGCAAUUGCAUCACUCAAAGAUGAUCCCGCGUUGUAUUAGCUAGUUGGUGAGGUAAAGGCUCACCAAGGCGAUGAUACAUAGCCGACCUGAGAGGGUGAUCGGCCACAUUAGGACUGAGACACGGCCCAAACUCAUACGGGAGGCAGCAGUAGGGAAUCUUCGGCUAUGGACGAAAGUCUGACCGAGCAACGCCGCGUGAGUGAAGAAGGUUUUCGGAUCGUAAAACUAUGUUGGUAGAGAAGAACGUUGGUGAGAGUGGAAAGCUCAUCAAGUGACGGUAACUACCCAGAAAGGGACGGCUAACUACGUG
rnacentral:rRNA from 1 species